rnacentral:rRNA from 1 species
AAAGAUUAAGCCAUGCAUGUAUAAGCACAAGCCGAAUUAUGGUGAAGCCGCGAAUAGCUCAUUACAACAGUCGUAGUUUAUUAGAAAGUACCUAAUGGAUAACUGUGGUAAUUCUAGAGCUAAUACAUGUUCCAAUCCCCGACUUUCGAAGGGGUGCAUUUAUUAGACCAAAGCCAAUCAGACUUUGUCUGUCUCAGGUUGACUCUGAAUAACUUUGCUGAUCGCACAGUCUUUGUACUGGCGACGUAUCUUUCAAGUGUCUGCCUUAUCAACUGUUGAUGGUAGAUUAUGCGCCUACCAUGGUUGUAACGGGUAACGGAGAAUCAGGGUUUGAUUCCGGAGAGGGAGCCUGAGAAACAGCUACCACAUCCAAGG